rnacentral:sRNA from 25 species
GCGUGCGUUCGGGGAAUGCCCGACCUUCGGGUCGGGGUUCAGGGUCAGAACCAAUUCCCCGAACUCUGC